AAUAGAUACCCGGUAGUCCACGCCGUAAACGUUGGGCACUAGGUGUGGGGAGGAAUCAACCCUUUCCGUGCCGUAGCUAACGCAUUAAGUGCCCCGCCUGGGGAGUACGGCCGCAAGGCUAAAACUCAAAGGAAUUGACGGGGGCCCGCACAAGCGGCGGAGCAUGUUGCUUAAUUCGAGGCAACGCGAAGAACCUUACCUGGGUUUGACAUGCAGCGAAAAGCCGUAGAGAUACGGUGUCCUUCGGGCGCUGCACAGGUGGUGCAUGGUUGUCGUCAGCUCGUGUCGUGAGAUGUUGGGUUAAGUCCCGCAACGAGCGCAACCCUUAUCCUAUGUUGCCAGCGCGUAGUGGCGGGGACUCGUGGGAGACUGCCGGGGUCAACUCGGAGGAAGGUGGGGACGACGUCAAAUCAUCAUGCCCCUUAUGUCCAGGGCUGCAAACAUGCUACAAUGGCCGGUACAACGGGCUGCGAGACUGCGAAGUCAAGCGAAUCCCUCAAAGCCGGUCUCAGUUCGGAUUGAAGUCUGCAACUCGACUU
rnacentral:rRNA from 1 species